UACGGGGGGGGGGCAAGCGUUUGUCCGGAAUUAUUUGGGCGUAAAGAGCUCGUAGGCGGUUUGUUUGCGUCUAUCGUGAAAACCUGCAGCUUUAACUGUGGGCUUUGCGGUGGAUACGGGCAGACUUGAGUUCGGUAGGGGAGACUGGAAUUCCUGGUGUAGCGGUGAAAUGCGCAGAUAUCAGGAGGAACACCGGUGGCGAAGGCGGGUCUCUGGGCCGAUACUGACGUGGAGGAGCGAAAAGCGUGGGGGAGCGAAACAGG
rnacentral:rRNA from 1 species